rnacentral:tRNA from 1 species
GGAGGAGUGGCCGAGCGGCUGAAGGCGGCGGUCUUGAAAAUCGCUUCCGCAGUAAUGCGGACGGGGGUUCGAAUCCCUCCUCCUCCGCAA